UGAAAUAUAGUAUAUUUUAAUACAUUUCAUUUACACUGAAAAAAUAUUUAAAUUAUUAAAUUAUUUCAA
rnacentral:tRNA from 2 species